CAAAUUUUAAAGCUAUCCUGUCAGUUUUUUCCCCUUUAGUACUUUACAGAGACUAGUACUCUUCUCCCUGUUUUUCACUGUUAUCUAAUUUAUUGUUAUCUGACAUUUAUUUUGCUUUUGUGUCACACGAAAACUGUGAUACCUAAAUAAGGAUUUGGGAAGCUUUUAGGUUCCUGACACACAAAAAAGCCAAACCAAACCCCAAACAACCAAAAAACAAACAACAAAACCUCCUGAUAAAGAGACACCAGUGGCUGUAGGCUGAAAGUUAAUUACCUUCUUGUCCUCACAUGUGUACACUGAGACUGUGAUACUGAACAGCAAGUUGUACCAUUGUUGUGGGUAAGAAGAACAAGCAAGGUGCAGUGCAACUGGUUAUGAUGUUCUGCUUCCAGGAUUGUACUCAUCAACAGAGGUGUAAAAUGUAUUCAAAGUCUUCAGAAUGCUUCUUCCAAAUAUUUUAUUCUUUGGUAUUUUAGUUCAUUAUAGGCUUCAUUAUUUCUUCCUCCAGCUUUUCUUCCUCCCUACAGCAGUUGCUUUCCAGACUUGGAGCUCCCUCCUCAGCCUCCCAAAGAGCUGUUUCCCAUCAUUGGUGUCAUGGAACUCUUGCCCUAAUUUCACUGACACCUUGAUUCUCUCUUGUAUCAAACACUGCAUUUGGGAUUGCACGGUUUCCACGAGACUGUAUUGCUGGUAA
rnacentral:lncRNA from 1 species